GGGACACGUGGUAUCCUGUCUGAAUAUGGGGGGACCAUCCUCCAAGGCUAAAUACUCCUGACUGACCGAUAGUGAACCAGUACCGUGAGGGAAAGGCGAAAAGAACCCCGGCGAGGGGAGUGAAAAAGAACCUGAAACCGUGUACGUACAAGCAGUGGGAGCACGCUUAGGCGUGUGACUGCGUACCUUUUGUAUAAUGGGUCAGCGACUUAUAUUCUGUAGCAAGGUUAACCGAAUAGGGGAGCCGAAGGGAAACCGAGUCUUAACUGGGCGUUAAGUUGCAGGGUAUAGACCCGAAACCCGGUGAUCUAGCCAUGGGCAGGUUGAAGGUUGGGUAACACUAACUGGAGGACCGAACCGACUAAUGUUGAAAAAUUAGCGGAUGACUUGUGGCUGGGGGUGAAAGGCCAAUCAAACCGGGAGAUAGCUGGUUCUCCCCGAAAGCUAUUUAGGUAGCGCCUCGUGAAUUCAUCUCCGGGGGUAGAGCACUGUUUCGGCAAGGGGGUCAUCCCGACUUACCAACCCGAUGCAAACUGCGAAUACCGGAGAAUGUUAUCACGGGAGACACACGGCGGGUGCUAACGUCCGUCGUGAAGAGGGAAACAACCCAGACCGCCAGCUAAGGUCCCAAAGUCAUGGUUAAGUGGGAAACGAUGUGGGAAGGCCCAGACAGCCAGGAUGUUGGCUUAGAAGCAGCCAUCAUUUAAAGAAAGCGUAAUAGCUCACUGGUCGAGUCGGCCUGCGCGGAAGAUGUAACGGGGCUAAACCAUGCACCGAAGCUGCGGCAGCGACACUGUGUGUUGUUGGGUAGGGGAGCGUUCUGUAAGCCUGUGAAGGUGUGCUGUGAGGCAUGCUGGAGGUAUCAGAAGUGCGAAUGCUGACAUAAGUAACGAUAAAGCGGGUGAAAAGCCCGCUCGCCGGAAGACCAAGGGUUCCUGUCCAACGUUAAUCGGGGCAGGGUGAGUCGACCCCUAAGGCGAGGCCGAAAGGCGUAGUCGAUGGGAAACAGGUUAAUAUUCCUGUACUUGGUGUUACUGCGAAGGGGGGACGGAGAAGGCUAUGUUGGCCGGGCGACGGUUGUCCCGGUUUAAGCGUGUAGGCUGGUUUUCCAGGCAAAUCCGGAAAAUCAAGGCUGAGGCGUGAUGACGAGGCACUACGGUGCUGAAGCAACAAAUGCCCUGCUUCCAGGAAAAGCCUCUAAGCAUCAGGUAACAUCAAAUCGUACCCCAAACCGACACAGGUGGUCAGGUAGAGAAUACCAAGGCGCUUGAGAGAACUCGGGUGAAGGAACUAGGCAAAAUGGUGCCGUAACUUCGGGAGAAGGCACGCUGAUAUGUAGGUGAAGUCCCUCGCGGAUGGAGCUGAAAUCAGUCGAAGAUACCAGCUGGCUGCAACUGUUUAUUAAAAACACAGCACUGUGCAAACACGAAAGUGGACGUAUACGGUGUGACGCCUGCCCGGUGCCGGAAGGUUAAUUGAUGGGGUUAGCCGCAAGGCGAAGCUCUUGAUCGAAGCCCCGGUAAACGGCGGCCGUAACUAUAACGGUCCUAAGGUAGCGAAAUUCCUUGUCGGGUAAGUUCCGACCUGCACGAAUGGCGUAAUGAUGGCCAGGCUGUCUCCACCCGAGACUCAGUGAAAUUGAACUCGCUGUGAAGAUGCAGUGUACCCGCGGCAAGACGGAAAGACCCCGUGAACCUUUACUAUAGCUUGACACUGAACAUUGAGCCUUGAUGUGUAGGAUAGGUGGGAGGCUUUGAAGUGUGGACGCCAGUCUGCAUGGAGCCGACCUUGAAAUACCACCCUUUAAUGUUUGAUGUUCUAACGUGGACCCGUGAUCCGGGUUGCGGACAGUGUCUGGUGGGUAGUUUGACUGGGGCGGUCUCCUCCUAAAGAGUAACGGAGGAGCACGAAGGUUGGCUAAUCCUGGUCGGACAUCAGGAGGUUAGUGCAAUGGCAUAAGCCAGCUUGACUGCGAGCGUGACGGCGCGAGCAGGUGCGAAAGCAGGUCAUAGUGAUCCGGUGGUUCUGAAUGGAAGGGCCAUCGCUCAACGGAUAAAAGGUACUCCGGGGAUAACAGGCUGAUACCGCCCAAGAGUUCAUAUCGACGGCGGUGUUUGGCACCUCGAUGUCGGCUCAUCACAUCCUGGGGCUGAAGUAGGUCCCAAGGGUAUGGCUGUUCGCCAUUUAAAGUGGUACGCGAGCUGGGUUUAGAACGUCGUGAGACAGUUCGGUCCCUAUCUGCCGUGGGCGCUGGAGAACUGAGGGGGGCUGCUCCUAGUACGAGAGGACCGGAGUGGACGCAUCACUGGUGUUCGGGUUGUCAUGCCAAUGGCACUGCCCGGUAGCUAAAUGCGGAAGAGAUAAGUGCUGAAAGCAUCUAAGCACGAAACUUGCC
rnacentral:rRNA from 1 species